GUGAGGAAUAUUGCGCAAUGGAGGCAACUCUGACGCAGCCAUGCCGCGUGCAGGAAGAAGGCGCUACGCGUUGUAAACUGCUUUUAACCGGGAAGAAACCCCAGGACGUGUCCUGGGUUGACGGUACCGGAGGAAUAAGCACCGGCUAACUUCGUGCCAGCAGCCGCGGUAAUACGAAGGGUGCAAGCGUUAUCCGGAUUCAUUGGGUUUAAAGGGUGCGUAGGCGGAGCGUUAAGUCAGUGGUGAAAUCCUGCAGCUUAACUGUAGACUUGCCAUUGAUACUGGGGCUCUUGAGUGCGCUUGAAGUGGGCGGAAUGUGCCGUGUAGCGGUGAAAUGCUUAGAUAUGGCACAGAACACCAAUUGCGAAGGCAGCUCACUAAGGCGAUACUGACGCUGAGGCACGAAAGCGUGGGGAUCGAACAGGAUUAGAAACCCGUGUAGUCC
rnacentral:rRNA from 1 species